UACGUAGGGUGCAAGCGUUAAUCGGAAUUACUGGGCGUAAAGCGUGCGCAGGCGGUUUUGUAAGUUUGUCGUGAAAUCCCCGGGCUCAACCUGGGAAUGGCGAUGGAGACUGCAAGGCUAGAGUUUGGCAGAGGGGGGUAGAAUUCCACGUGUAGCAGUGAAAUGCGUAGAGAUGUGGAGGAACACCGAUGGCGAAGGCAGCCCCCUGGGUCAAAACUGACGCUCAUGCACGAAAGCGUGGGGAGCAAACAGG
rnacentral:rRNA from 1 species